AAGGCCACUUCUCAAAGUAGUGGUUUUUCCUUUGUUGUUGUUGCAUACUAUUUAGUUGCCUGGAUGUUGUAUAAUUUAUGCAGUAAACUUUUGUGCCCCUUCAGUAUGCCAGGUACUGCUAGCCUUGGAAUGCAGAAAUGAACAGUCUUUACCUUCAUGGAUCUUAACUUCUGGAGAGACAAAUGAACGAAUACCAGAUCCAGUUCCCUUCAGCAGAAGCACCCACUGUUACGUGUUUCUCAUGCCCCUGUCCAGCGAUACUGCAAGGAUAUCCAAGCAUGAAAUUAUCCAUUUCAUCUAUAUCACCAGAGAUAAGACUGGGAAAUUUGACAAGUGAGCAGAAGGAGUGAAUCAAGCUGACCAGAGAGAGUAGGAGCCCCAGGCGUCACAAAGUACCCAUCGGAAGUGAGUUAUUCAUUUAAACUGACAAUAAUUUGCUCCAUUUUGUGGUGUUCUGCAGCCAUUCCUGGAGAGGUUGGUAUACAAACUGUUUAGUUUUUGAGGUGUGUGUGAUGAGAGGAGAGAAGGGUAAAACAGUUAAAGACAGUGGCAGGGGAAUGAUGAUAUUGAGAAGUCAUGGAUUGUAAGUCAUGAAGAUUUAAGUGAUGUUAAGAGAGGACAGAUGAACACAAGGAAAAAAUAAGUACCUGGAUUAACAGAUUGGCGGCCUUCACAAGGCUGAAGAAUUCCUGGCAAGACAGGAAGAUGUGAUCUAAAAAUUGUAUCUGCAAAAUCAUGAUUUUUGGAAGGGGUGCAGGGACUUGGAGAUGGAAUCAUGGGCACAUGGGCUGAAGUGCAGCUAAGAAAGGUCAGAGUUGAUGGGCAGGGCGCUGGGUGAGCAGCUUAUCUGCAUCUGGGAGUCACUAAGCUCAAUGACAUGGACUGCAAGAGACAAAGAGACAUGGAUCAGGUGCUAAAGUCUCUGGUGAACAAGGGAAAGUGACAGAAGAGGAAGGGUAGGGGAAUAACUGUUGGAAGCAGCAAUGGCUAACAAGAAGGACCAUUCUUCUCCCAUCGGGCCCUGAGCUGUGGGAGAGUGAGAGGCACACAAUUGCCUGGGGUCUCCACUCAGGCCAGGGGUUGCAGGAACUACUAGGGGAGCAUUUGAGGACAUGGAUGAGU